AGGACGAACGCUGGCGGCGUGCUUAACACAUGCAAGUCGAGCGGAAAGGCCCUUCGGGGUACUCGAGCGGCGAACGGGUGAGUAACACGUGAGUAAUCUGCCCCUAGCUCUGGGAUAGCUCCGGGAAACCGGGAUUAAUACCAGAUACGACCACUUUAGACAUCUUCUGUGGUGGAAAGAACUUCGGCUAGGGAUGAACUCGCGGCCUAUCAGCUUGUUGGUGAGGUAACGGCUCACCAAGGCGACGACGGGUAGCCGGCCUGAGAGGGCGACCGGCCACACUGGGACUGAGACACGGCCCAGACUCCUACGGGAGGCAGCAGUGGGGAAUAUUGCGCAAUGGGCGAAAGCCUGACGCAGCGACGCCGCGUGGGGGAUGAAGGCCUUCGGGUUGUAAACCCCUUUCAGCAGGGACGAAGCGAAGUGACGGUACCUGCAGAAGAGCGCCGGCUACUACGCGCCAGCAGCCGC
rnacentral:rRNA from 1 species